AUGCCACGUGGUGUACAGGUUAGUGGUGCUUUUUACCCCGUAGAUGUCGGCUGCGUUGUGCCUGGAGAGUGUCGGCCGCUAUCUUGCAUUUGGACCCGCAAAGUGUCAGCUGCGCUCUUCUCCUAUAGCCUGUUAGAAGUCGGGCGUUAUCUCACUUUUAUAACUCGCGGUCUUGUCUUUUUUGGACCUGUAGAGCGUCGGCUGCUAUAUUUUCCAAAGGCCUUUUAGACGUCGGCUGCUUUCACACAUUUCAAACUCGCGAUGUGCCUACUGCACUGUAAAUUUUCCGUAUAUUGCUUUCCCCUUUUUGAAAGCAAACAAAAAUCGCUGAAUGAUAAUGUGACUGAUAAUGUGUUUGCGUUGUUGGGAAAUAUGAGAGAGGUGGUGGGGAAAUGGAAAUGAUAAUUUCGCAUCGAUUUUCUGAGUCAUACACAGUAUGCAUAAUUUGGUGUAAUAAUUUUCAAAUUAUUUCCACAUUCUAGUCGAAAAAAUCGUCGCAAAAAUUUCGGACAAACCAGCAAAAAGCUAUCAAGUCUUUCCAUCCGGGACGGAAGUUUUCAAAGUUUUCAGGCGUGAUCCCAUCGCCGCAGCCGAAAACCCGCCCGGAUGCUGUGACGUCUUCCUCGACGUGCUCCGCGCAUGCGGUCUCAUCUGCUACGUGGCAUGUCCACCCGUCCCGUCAGUAAUCACUCGAAAACUCGCAUUCCACCCGCCCGAGAAGGGCAUGACCUACCGGAUAGUGCUCAAGUCGGAUCCCGAGAAACGAUUCAAGAAUAUUCGCGCGUGUAAGGACGAGCCGAUGCAGAUGGUCGUCAGAAACAUCAACAAUGGUGCAGACUAUGUGCAUCCCGAGCAGGAUGUUGAGGUGUUCUCGGUGAAGACCGCCAAUAAUAAUGAUCUGGUCUGCGUCAAGUGCACGCCGGAUAGCUACUCCAGUAAUCCUGCGGUUGCUGAACAGGUUGUCCUAUUCUGCCAGCCGAACUCUUCAGAUCUCGGAGGCUUCCUUCAACCAAACUCCAUGAACUUUGUCACCUAUGCGAACGUUUUUGAGACUGACUUAUAUGCAUUUGACUAUUCUGGAUACGGCUUCUCCUCGGGGACUCAAGGCGAAAAGAACGUGUACGCCGAUGUGAGAGCAGUUUAUGAAAAGAUUUUGGAGAUGAGACCGGAUAAGAAGAUCGUCGUGAUGGGGUACAGUAUCGGAACGACUGCAGCAGUCGACCUGGCAGCUACCAAUCCGGAUAGACUGGCUGGAGUUGUGCUGAUUGCUCCGUUCACCAGCGGGCUCAGACUUUUCUCCAGUAAACCGGAUAAGCCGGACACAUGCUGGGCGGAUUCUUUCAAAAGCUUCGACAAAAUCAAUAACAUCGACACUCGUGUCCUGAUUUGUCACGGAGAUGUUGAUGAGGUGAUCCCCCUGUCACAUGGUCUGGCUCUCUACGAAAAGCUCAAAAAUCCGGUUCCCCCGCUCAUCGUCCACGGCGCAAACCAUCACACCAUUCUCAGCGGGAAGUAUAUCCAUGUCUUCACUCGUAUUGCAAACUUCCUUCGUAACGAGACCCUCGUGAGCUGCCGUAGCGCUGAAGUCGACUCGUCACAGCAACAACAACAAUUGUCAUCGAAGCGAACGGAAAAUGAAUAG
rnacentral:misc_RNA from 1 species